rnacentral:rRNA from 1 species
UACAGAGGGUGCAAGCGUUAAUCGGAAUUACUGGGCGUAAAGCGUGCGUAGACGGUAGCGUAAGUCGGGUGUGAAAGCCCCGGGCUCAACCUGGGAAUUGCAUUCGAGACUGCUCUGCUAGGGUGCGGAAGAGGGAAGCGGAAUUUCCGGUGUAGCGGUGAAAUGCGUAGAUAUCGGAAGGAACACCAGUGGCGAAAGCGGCUUCCUGGACAGUAACUGACGCUGAUGCGCGAAAGCUAGGGGAGCAAACAGG